GAUGAACGCUGGCGGCGUGCUUAACACAUGCAAGUCGAACGAUGAAGCCCAGCUUGCUGGGUGGAUUAGUGGCGAACGUGUGAGUUACACGUGAGUAACCUGCCCUUUACUCUAGGAUAAUCCUGGGAAACUGUGUCUAUUACCGGCUAGGGGCGUCCACCGCAUGGUGGGUGUUGGCGCGAUUUAUCGGUGUUGGAUGUGCUCGCGGCUUAUCAGCUUCGUGGUGUGGUUAUGGCUCACCAAGGCUAAGACGGGUCGCAGGCCUGAGAGGGUGACCGGACACACUGGGACUGAGACACGGCCCAGACUAAUACGGGAAGCAACGGUGGGGAAGAGUGCACAAUGGGCGAAAGCCUGAUGCAGCGAAGCGGCGUGAGGGAUGACGGCCUUCGGGUUGUAAACCACUUUCAGUAGGGAAGAAGAGAAAGUGACGGUACCUGAAGAAGAAGCACCGGCUAACUACGUG
rnacentral:rRNA from 1 species